rnacentral:rRNA from 1 species
UACGGGGGGAGCAAGCGUUGUUCGGAUUUACUGGGCGUAAAGGGCGCGUAGGCGGUACUUCAAGUCAGGCGUGAAAGCCCCGGGCUCAACCUGGGAACCGCGCUUGAGACUGGAGAACUAGAGUUCGGGAGAGGAUGGUGGAAUUCCCAGUGUAGAGGUGAAAUUCGUAGAUAUUGGGAAGAACACCGAUGGCGAAGGCAGCCAUCUGGACCGACACUGACGCUGAGGCGCGAAAGCGUGGGGAGCAAACAGG